rfam:Cavia porcellus supercont2_87 genomic scaffold, whole genome shotgun sequence.
GUGAUCAGUUUAUACUCAAGCAGCACAGAUACUAAAAUUGGAACGAUACAGAGAUUAGUGUGGCCCCUACUCAAGGAUGACAUGCAAAUUCGUGAAGCGUUCCAUAUUUAA